rnacentral:rRNA from 1 species
UACGGAGGGAGCUAGCGUUGUUCGGAAUUACUGGGCGUAAAGCGCACGUAGGCGGCUUUGUAAGUUAGAGGUGAAAGCCCGGGGCUCAACCCCGGAAUUGCCUUUAAGACUGCAUCGCUUGAAUCCAGGAGAGGUGAGUGGAAUUCCGAGUGUAGAGGUGAAAUUCGUAGAUAUUCGGAAGAACACCAGUGGCGAAGGCGGCUCACUGGACUGGUAUUGACGCUGAGGCGCGAAAGCGUGGGGAGCAAACAGG